UCCUGGCCAAGCAAGGGAUGGCAUGACACAGCAGGGAAGCUAGCUGAUCACAGAGAGAAUAGGAAGUAAGACCAGGCUAUAAACACUCAAAGCCCGCCACCAGUGAUGCCCUUCCUUCAACAAGGCUCUAUAACCUCCGCAAACAGCACCACCAGCUGAGGAACAAGUGUCCAAAUAGAGGAGCCCAUGGGGGACAUUCCUCAUCAAACCACUACAACUUGGAAUGAGCGACUAAUCACUCCACCCUGUUCUUUACCUACUGCAAAUCGGACCACCCCGCCCCCAAAGAAGCAUGCACGCUUGGUCUCCAUUGAUGUGAAUCUCUUCUGUGCCUACAGCUUGAUCCGCUGAGAUUCUUUCCUGUCCAGUAGAAUGAUCAUCCCGGAUGUAAAAAAGACGUUUCCCCAUCUCCAGGCCCUCUAAAUAGAUGACCCGAGGAUCACAA